UUAUUAUCUCUCUCACCAUCUUUUUUUUUUGAAAGGAGAAAUAUAUAUAUAUAUAUAUAUAUAUAUAUAUAUAAUAAUAAUAAUAAAAUAGGAAAUGUUGAGAAACAACCCCUCUCAACAACAUGGGUACAGUAACCUGAUUAACCAAAAGACUGGCAAAAUCCAAGUCCCAAUGAGGUACAAACUGCCCUGAAGUAAAACCCCCAAUUACAAAAGAUAAAACAUUAAAGCCCUGAAAAUACCCAUGGAUCAAUAUCCGAAAAACAUAUCAUAUAAAGCCCAAACAAACCCAACCCUCACAAGACUAAACCACACGAACACCGAAGAGCCAACUCCGUCGGGGACCGAGACGCAGCGACAAGCCACAUAAACCCAACAAAAACAGAGUCACAACUCGACAUCGGCAUUGAAAGACACAAGCCCAACUCCGAAUCAGAGACAACAAGACCAUGCUGAACAGGAUGCACAUGGUUGAAAACUCAAGAACCUAAACCCCAACAAACCAAUCACAGCAGCGUAUCGAAUCUGCUCUGCCUCACCAAUGUAGAGAGAAGCGCCGCUGACUCUGACUCCCAAACGCCUAUACUGCGCUGGGCAAAAGCCCCCUCACCACCAAACAAACCAAAAGUCGCCUCCUACAAACCCAUGAAAACCUGUAACCAAAGCACAUCCAUAUCAGCAAAGCCCGGCGAUCCUAACUCAGUCAGAACUAAGAAAAUCCGGACACCCACUUUGAACCAGCCACCUGUCGAAAGAAACAUAAAGAGUAGACACAGAAACGAUCCGCCGCAAGCCCACGACCACGACCUCCCCUAACGCAAGAUCACCACGAUGGACAGCACCCGCGCCGCACCAGGGAACCUAGAAUCAGAUCCAAAACCCAUUGCCUUGAUCCACACAGCCGAGCGCCUGGAAGGCACAUCCAAAUCGACACCAGAUCGACGACGCAAUCUCAUCAGAAAACGUUGGCCAAGGAAGGAGCGACCCAGAGCACGUUUAAGCUUCCUUGCCAAAGGCAAUCAAAUCAGAACCAAGUCGAACCCCAGCUGAAGAGAGACGAAGACGAAGGUGAAUUCCAAGCAAGAACCAGAGCCACCACGAGCGCAGAAGAAAGGCUGAAAUCGCAGAUCAGAGGCGCAAGAGAGAGCGAAGGCGAAAACAGGGGAAUCAGAAAAGGUUGAUACGAAACAGAGACAACAAGGAAGGUAAGACGAGGCCAACAAGCUUUAUUGGCAGGAAAAACAAACGAAAAAAAGAAAGGAAGAAACGGGUUGACGCCGCGCAAGGGCGGCGCGACGGCCACUCAGCCGCAAAACCCUAAGAGGCAACGAGAGAGAAGGGUUAGACGAGAGAGAAGUCUUAGAGAGAGAAUGAGAGUUUUCUCUCACCAUCUUAUUAUCUUUCUAUUAGUCUUUGUUUUGAAAUGGAUCCCAACAAUCACCAUUUCAACCCCCAACAUUCUUCUAACUACCCAUAUAACUACUAAAAUCCCAACAAUUAUCAAGAUCCAAAUCAAUUUCCCAACCAAUAUCAUCAAAAUCCAAACAAUUAUCAAGAUCCAAAUCAAUUUUUCAACCAACGUCCUCAACAUCCCAACAAUUAUCAAGAUCCAAAUCAAUUUUCUUACCAACGUCCUCAAAAUCCCAACAAUUAUCAAGAUCCAAAUCAAUUUUCCACCCAACGUCCUCAAAACAUACAUAAUUUAGGUUUUGCACCAAAUUCCAACCAGUCAUCCUUUCAUCCAUCUUAUGGAUCUAUGAGAUAUCCAUCUCAAAUACCCCUGUCUAGUGGUUAUAUGCCAAUGGUGAAUGAAAAUUUUCCGAGUGUUGAUGCGCCUGAAUUUCCCGAAUUUUCAACACAAAUGACUCUUGGUGCUAAUCAAUUCACUCCAAAUCAAGAGGAUUCAACUCCUAAGAGCAAGAGAACCCCGUCACCAGCAUGGAACACUGCACAAAAUUUGGUGCAAAUUAGUGGGUGGAUUAACUGUGGAACAAGCAGUGUUGUGGGGAAAAACCAGAAAGGAGAAACAUUUUGGAGAGAUAUUGCUGAGUAUUGUAAUGAGCAUUGCUCAUUCGAUCCUCCGCGUGAUGGAAUUGCAUGCCGAAACCGUUGGAAUUAUAUGAACAAAAUACUGGGUAAAUGGAUUGACGCUUAUGAUGCCGCUAAGCGUCAGCAAGGAAGCGGUUGGUCGGAUAAUGAUGUUUUGGCAAAAGCGCAGGAAUUAUUCGCAUGUGGGAAGAAUGUUCAAUUUACUUUGAUGGAAGAAUGGAACGCUCUCCGUGAUCUACCACGUUUCUGUAGUCAAGUAGGAGGAAAUGAGCGUCGAAACAAAAUAUUGGAAGAUAGUGCACCUCGUAGUAGAAAAUAUGUCAGUAGAGAUCAUACAGCGGCAAACCAAAGACUAAUUGACGACUACUUUGCCAAUGAACCUACAUAUGACGAUGCAAUGUUUCGUCGUCGGUACCGGAUGCAAAAACAUGUUUUCCUUCGAAUCGUUGCGGACCUUUCAAGUAGUGAUAACUACUUUACCCAGCGAGUUGAUGCAGCCAAUAAAGAAGGUAUAUCACCCUUAGCAAAAUGUACCACAGCAAUGCGAAUGUUAGCAUAUGGUGUGGCAGCAGAUGCAGUCGAUGAGUACAUCAAAAUAGGAGGUACUACAACACUGGAGUGUUUACGUAGAUUAUGUAAAGGAAUCAUACGAUUGUAUGACCAAGAGUACCUUAGAGCACCAACCGAAGAUGACCUGCAAAAAAUACUACAUGUUAGUGAAAUGCGGGGGUUCCCAGGCAUGAUCGGGAGUAUUGACUGCAUGCACUGGGAGUGGAAAAAUUGUCCUAAAGCAUGGGAAGAUCAAUUUACUAGAGGGGAUAAGGGAACCACAACAGUUAUUCUUGAAGCAGUUGCAUCUCAUGAUCUAUGGAUCUGGCAUGCCUUUUUUGGAUGUCCGGGAACGUUGAACGACAUAAACGUUCUAGAUCGGUCACCGGUGUUUGAUGACGUGGAACAGGGAAAGGCUCCAACUGUGAAUUUCUUUGUGAAUCAACGUCCCUAUAAUAUGACAUACUAUCUAGCUAAUGGUAUCUACCCUUCUUAUCCAACUUUCGUCAAGUCGAUUAGACUUCCUCAAAGUGAACCCGAUAAGUUGUUUGCACAAGUUCAAGAGGGAUGUCGGAAGGACAUCGAACGUGCAUUUGGAGUGCUUCAAGCUCGUUUUAAAAUCAUCCGUGAACCAGCUCGUUUGUGGGACAUAGCUGAUUUGAGUAUCAUUAUGAGGUCAUGCAUCAUAUUACAUAAUAUGAUUGUUGAGGAUGAACGAGAUUUAUAUGCUCAACGUUGAACCGAUUUUGAGCAAUCUGGGGAAGGUGGAUCUAGUACACCGCAACCAUACUCGACCGAGGUGUUACCCGCUUUUGCAAAUCAUGUGCGUGCUAGAUCCGAGUUGCGUGAUUCGAAUGUUCAUCACGAACUGCAAGCAGAUCUAGUGAAGCACAUAUGGACAAAGUUUGUUGUCUAUACACUCCUUCAAUAUGUUGAGUGGAAAGAGACAGGAAGAGAAACGGAGUGA